rnacentral:rRNA from 1 species
AUUGAACGCUGGCGGAAUGCUUUACACAUGCAAGUCGAACGGCAGCACGGACUUCGGUCUGGUGGCGAGUGGCGAACGGGUGAGUAAUGUAUCGGAACGUGCCCAGUCGUGGGGGAUAACGUAGUGAAAAUUACGCUAAUACCGCAUACGAUCUAUGGAUGAAAGCGGGGGAUCGCAAGACCUCGCGCGAUUGGAGCGGCCGAUAUCAGAUUAGGGAGUUGGUGGGGUAAAGGCCCACCAAGCCAACGAUCUGUAGCUGGUCUGAGAGGACGACCAGGCACACUGGACCUGAGACACGGUCCGGACUCCUACGGGAGGCAGCAGUGGGGAAUUUUGGACAAUGGGCGAAAGCCUGAUCCAGCCAUUCCGCGUGCAGGAUGAAGGCCCUCGGGUUGUAAACUGCUUUUGUACAGAACGAAAAGGUUUCUACUAAUACUAGGAGCUCAUGACGGUACUGUAAGAAUAAGCACCGGCUAACUACGUGCCAGCAGCCGCCGUAA